CCUACGGGAGGCAGCAGUGGGGAAUAUUGCGCAAUGGGCGAAAGCCUGACGCAGCGACGCCGCGUGAGGGAUGAAGGUUCUCGGAUCGUAAACCUCUGUCAGUAGGGAAGAAAUUAUAUCAUGCUAAUCACUUGUGUAUUGACGGUACCUUCAAAGGAAGCACCGGCUAACUCCGUGCCAGCAGCCGCGGUAAUACGGAGGGUGCGAGCGUUAAUCGGAAUUACUGGGCGUAAGGCGCACGUAGGCUGUAUGACAAGUCAAGGGUGAAAUGCCACGGCUCAACCGGGGAACUGCAUUUGAAAAUGUCAAACUAGAGUAUGUGAGAGGGCGGGGGAAUUCCUGGUGUAGGGGUGAAAUCCGUAGAUAUCAGGAGGAACAUCAGUGGCGAAGGCGGCCGCCUGGCAAAAAACUGACGCUGAGGUGCGAAAGCGUGGGUAGCAAACAGGAUUAGAUACCCGAGUAGUC
rnacentral:rRNA from 1 species